AACGAACGCUGGCGGCAUGCCUAACACAUGCAAGUCGAACGAGGCCCUUCGGGGUUUAGUGGCGCACGGGUGCGUAACGCGUGGGAAUUUGCCCUUUGGUUUGGAAUAACAGCUGGAAACGGCUGCUAAUACCGGAUGAUGACGAAAGUCCAAAGAUUUAUCGCCAGAGGAUGAGCCCGCGUUGGAUUAGGUAGUUGGUGGGGUAAAGGCCUACCAAGCCGACGAUCCAUAGCUGGUUUGAGAGGAUGAUCAGCCACACUGGGACUGAGACACGGCCCAGACUCCUACGGGAGGCAGCAGUGGGGAAUAUUGGACAAUGGGCGCAAGCCUGAUCCAGCAAUGCCGCGUGAGUGAUGAAGGCCCUAGGGUUGUAAAGCUUUUUUACCCGGGAAGAUAAUGACUGUACCGGGAGAAUAAGCCCCGGCUAACUCCGUG
rnacentral:rRNA from 1 species